rnacentral:lncRNA from 1 species
GGAGCUGCAGAUAGUUCGGGCCAAGACGGUGCCUCUGAGUAUCAGAAUAGGAGAAGAUUCGAGUUUGGAGCAACUUAUCAUCUGAAUAGUAGACACCAGGGACAACAAUGGCAGGGCAAAAUGCAAGUUGUUCAUUCUCUGCAAAGAAGUUAUCAAUGUUUUUAUUCAGAACCAGACGGCCAACUGGCUGCAGAGGAAGAAUAUCUUCAGGCCAGGUCUUAGUUACAUCAAGUGGAUCAAAGUCAAAUCUGUCCUCAUGAUUGGGAUCAAUUGUCUGAAUAUAAAGUUUCCACUCAGGGUAGUUGCCAGCUGCAAUGGAAUCAUAGAGAUCCUUGGUAGCAUGGCUGUGAUUAGCUCCUCCAACCUUAAUAGCUUCAUCCUCCAACAAACACUUGACUCCACACGUAGGUUUCCAAUGAAAUUUCACAUACUGUACUUUCCCCGCCUUAUUGAUAAGGGUAUAGGUGUUAACACCAGAGCCUUCCAUGUGCCUGUAAUCUUGUGGAACUCCCAGAUCAUCAAAUAGGAAGGUGAACAUGUGCAGGCUUUCUGGGUGGUGGGAGAAGAAGUCAAGGAUCCUCCAAGGCUCUUGAAUGUGCGACUUGGGGUUCGGUUUGAGAGCAUGGACCAUGUCCGGGAAUUUCAUUCCGUCACGAACAAAAAAGACAGGGAAAUUGUUUCCAACCAGGUCAAAAUUACCCUGUGUUUAAGAACAAAGUCGCCACAUGAGUACUAACAACACAGCAAAAUAAACCUGAAUAAAGUUGUAUAUAGUGAAUAAUAAUGUUACCAAGAAAUCAACCAUCUGUAUAAGCAUCUAGAUUACAGAUGGUAUGCUACAUGAGCAAUCUUUUACAGCCAGGUGACUACCCCCAUUAGUAAACGAAAAUGAAAAGGCAAAGAAAAGAAAGGAAUGAAUGCAAUCUUUCAUCAAAGUCACAAGACUGCAUAAUUUCCAACAACUAUAAUUAGUCAAAUAUGAAUUGAGUACUUCAUAUUUUGUCACCACAGCCACCUCAGCUGCCACUACAGACACCAAUACAUAUCCACUAAAUAUGCCUAUGCUAUUGAAAAUAAAAAUAAAAUUAACACAUUGAUAAUAUAAAGGUAAAAACCUCACCUCUCUGGUGUAAAACUUCACUGCAAAACCACGAGGAUCCCUCAGGGUUUCAGGGCUGCCACGCUCAUGGAUAACAGUGGAGAAACGCACAAUGACAGGUGUCUGAACACCGGGGGCUCGAAGGAAGUCAGCACAUGUAAGCUGAGAAAUAUCAUGAGUGACCUCGAAGAAUCCCUUCGCACUGGCUCCCCUAGCAUGGACAACACGCUCUGGGAUUCGUUCUCUAUCAAAGUUGGCAAGUUUCUCCACCAGAUGAUAGUCCUCAAGGAGAAUUGGGCCUGACAAAUAGACACAGAAAUUUAAUUCGGAACUGCACCGACUCAACUCACCAUAUUUAAGCAUCUAGAUUACAUGCAAAUAUAGGAUAAAAAUGAAAUUAGUUGUUAUACAUUCCAGAACAUCAAAUAAAGAUGAUUGCUGCUCAGUUGCAAAUAUUCGUAAUUUUUAUUUACAUUUAGAAGGUAGGUUUUCAGACAACCAGAUGAUCAAAAAACCCAUCUUGACAAACCAAAAGGAGGCUGGAGGAAUUAAAAGAGAACCAACAGUGCGGGAGAAUCAUUUUUCAACUAAAGUAAGCAUAAAAUUUUAAAAUAAAUGUCAAUAGGAAAAGGAUCAGCUUCAAAUACAAGAUAUAUAAGUAUAUAUACAUAUCUUAAAUCCCACAAGCGUUUCCAAAGAUUAAUCAUCCUCAACAUGGUAGUGGUGGGAAUAACAUCCAAAAAGCAGUUUACAGCUCAUAAUCACAUGAAUAUCAAAAUCUUGUUCAGAAAAGUUGAGAAAACCAUCACAAAAAUUCAAAACCCAGGUAAGCGAAGAACCAAUGAUAACAAAGAUGAAUAUAUACACACAAAUAGUGAAUAGCAUCAUAAGAUAGAUUGAACAUGAAGCGCAACUAAAAAAACAAUAAAAUAUAAAAUAUAAACUGUGUUGCAAUUGAAAAGCCAGCAUCAAUCAACGAAGAGUUGUGAUGAAUUACCUCUAGAUCCAACAGUCAAAGAAGAGUUGUUGUUCCAAACAGGAGCACCGGAGUUUGUGGUCCAGAAUGGGGAAUCAAAAGCACUUGAAGGGCGGUACUGCAACAUACACAACGAAAACGAAACAAGACCAUGAUGAGCUAAAAGAACAACAAACACAAAAUUUCGAGCUACGCUUAAAUGACCAAUCUGAUUGAUCAAGAAGAUUAAUUCAUCAAGAAAUCAAACUUAAACAAAUCAAGAGAUAUUAUAACAGGGAAAUGAGUACCUUGUAAGGAUCCAUGGAGAAAGAGGGGGAAGGAGGAGUUUGAUAAGAAGGUGAGAGAGCAGAGCAAAGCCACCCAAAGGGAGGGUCGUGUGGCAAAUGAGAAUCGAAGAGCGAAAUGUGAAAUUGGGGAAUUUAUAAACACUUGCGGGUCGUGGGCGUGGCUCGCGCUUCUGCGCAAAUUACCAAUCUCAGCAGGUUAUCUUUAUCCACACACAGAGUGGGAGGUCAAGAGAAGAGAAGACAUAUCUUUGCCAAUUUAGCGUCGCGAGUCAGAACGAUUCUCGCCAAACCUGUCAACGAAGCAUUCUUGUAUGCACAAUUGUGGCAAAACGUCCUUCACUCACUUCAAAUCUUUUACAACCAAUUUUAUGAGGAGGGAUUUUUUUACAAAAAAAAUAAAAAAUUAUACAAUUUUAUGAGGAGAUGGUAUGCAACAAAAAAACAGAGGGGAUUCAGAUUUUUUUUUUUUAAUGGAAAUUAUUGUCCAAAAACAAAAGAAACAUUGAAGAAAUUGAGAGUUCAAUUUAAAAGUAAAAGAGAUCAUUAAAAUGAGUAAAAGAGACUAGAAACACCAUAAUUGACUGUGUAAUUAUAAAAUAUAUGGAGUCGUUUUUUUAUUUUUCAAAUUUUGUGAACAUAUUAUCCCUAAAUAAUGAACACAAAAAUUGAUUUAAAUAUAAUGUUGGUGUUGAUUGCAAUUAAUAAUAGCUAACUAUAGAGAUUUGAUUGAAACAAUUAAAACAUUUCACCACGACAACAAGGUCAAGAAUGCAAGUUGUUUAUUAUUAUGAAUUGGUUUCAAGACGAACAAUUUAACAACAAAUUCCAAACCUCUAUAUUUAGGAUUCAUGCAUUUAUCUACAUUUUAUGAAACUAAGUUGCUCAAAUAAUCUAACCAUUUAACAUGACACAUCAUCAAUUUUUAACCUAAGAUUUUUUUAAAAAAAAAUUGAAGUUAAUUUUAAAGUUAACGUGCUUGAGGGGUUUUUUUUUUCAUCAUGCUUCCUCCUUGAGAAAACUGUGAAUAAAAUUAAUUAAUUGCUACUUAUCUUCAGCUUAUAUAUUGAACCCUAAAGCAUAAAGCGAACUUCAAAACUUUAAUUUUUUGGCCACACAAACUUGAGCAAAGUAUGUCUUAUCUUUUUCACAAGAUUAUUCACUCUCAUUCUAAAUUCAUCGUGAUAUGUUAAGAAAUAACAAGUUUCACGAUGAACUAAAAAAGAACUCUCAAGCACGUUAACAUUAACGUUAGCAUAAGUUUUUGGAAAGAACGAAAAAGACCUUAAUUUAAAGAUUGAUGAUAUGUCAUAUGAAUGGUUAAAUUAUUUAGUUUAAAUUUUACGAAAUAUAAAUAAAUACACGGAUUCUAAAUAUAGAAAUUUGAUAUUCAUUUGCCAUAAAUAUCACUUUAAGAGUGAAAAUCCAGAAUACUAAACUAAAAUUAUAUUUCUUCACAAAAAUUGCAUCUAAAGAUGAGGAUAAAUUGAUGUUCAUCCGGACAUUGAAAAAGCACAAUAUAUCGUGAAGAUAUUCGAUAUAUUGAAAACCUCGCCGAUAUUCAUGUAGGAAGGCUAAACGAUUUUUUUAUGGCAAAAACUUCAACAACAACAACAAAAAAAGAGGCCUGGAAAAUUAUUAUUAUCAUAAUCGUGGUGGGAAUUCAAAAUUGAAAAUAAUUGAGAACGUCAUGCAUUCAUCGUUCGUUAUCCAGGUCUUGGAGCUUUGCUAACACCUAGGCGCAACCACUUAAGGCAGUGGCGGGUAUGGGUGACGUGGUCCACUCACAAGACGCCACGACCACCAAAGUGUACCUUGAAACGCGUGCUCUUAGAAAAUAGCACAGAGAUUCUCUCUCUCAGGGGAUAUGCUUGAAAUUUAUGAACAAAACAGAAGGAAAAAUAAAAACAAACAAGAGGCUAUUUUUGGUGUUGUCUGUGUGAAAGCCGCCAAAACAGCAAAUAUGCUGAUAAGGUUAGAAUGGGCCGAGCUCAGAUUAGCCACAAAGACUGUUCCUCUCUGGGCCCACUUAUCAAUAUUUUAACAUUUUUUUUAAUGGAGCUCGACAAUGAACAAAUUUUGAAGGUAAUUACUUGAUGUUAGUUAGAGAACCUCUAUGUCUAAGGGAACUACGAGUUCAAGGAAGCUUUGAGGUAUGCUCAUGUGACCCUACUUCUUGUUCUUUAUGCAUAAACAUAUUCAAGUUGCAUGUUCAAGGCUUGCCAUCUAAUCAUUAUAUAAUAUUUUGAUCAUCUAUUAUAAAAAUAUAAAAAAAACUAUGUAACUGGGCCUUGGUGCAAUAAGAACUUAAGCAUUAGCUUCAUGUAUGUAGGAAAAGUAGCAAAUAAUUUCAAUUGUAAAAUGAAUGCUUUGGUUUCUUUUCUUGUUAAUGCCGUUUGACUGGUUGUUUUGUCUUAGUGGUUCUUUGACCUCUCUUUGGUCUUUUUAUUGAAAGUUAUGUUGAGAAACUGAAAUUAACUUAAACGUAAAAGGAUUUUUUGAGUAAACAUAUUUCACAGCAUAAGAAUACUGCAGUUUUCCUCUCUUAUAUAUAUCUGAAAAACAAAGCUUACAAAAUAACAAUCUCCACAAUAACCACUAACACACAAGUGCAGAUUUUGUGGAGUUCAACUACCUUAAGCAACGGAAGCAAAUUUGAACGUGGUGAACAGACUAAACCACAACUUCUACAUUCUAGGACUUCAGCUUGACUUGGUCUCUACAUGGCCAUGUCAGCAUUAUUUAAUUAAAAAACUAAUUAAACUUAACUAAAUAACUUUUAACACCCUCCCUUAAACUGAUUUUUACGAAAAACAGUUUAGGAUCUCUACACCAUCACAUAAUCAUCUUCCUGUUCAAUGCUUUGAAAUGAACAAACUCCCAACAUGCUUCUCAGCUUCUCAAGCGCAGGUACCAUCACAUAAUCAUCUUCCUGUUCAAUGCUUUGAAAUGAACAAACUCCCAACAUGCUUCUCAGCUUCUCAAACGCAGGUUGCUUCAAAGGCUUAGUUAAGAUGUCUGCAACCUGCUCCCCACUCUUGCAAUAUUCAAGUACAAUCUUCCCAUCACUGCACAGGUCACGCAAAAAAUGAAAACGUACAUCAAUGUGUUUACUUCUCCCAUGCAUGACUGGAUUCCUCGAUAGCUUUAUAGUUGACAUGUUGUCGCAGUAGAUGGUUGUUGGUCCCUUUUGAACAUCACCAAGCACUUCAAAUAUUUUCCUAAGCGACAUAGCUUGACAGGAGCUUGCAGCUGCUGCUACAUAUUCAGCUUCUGUUGAGGAAAGUGUCACAAUUUGUUGCUUCUUUGAGGACCACGAUAUUGCACCAGAGUUGAGCAGAAAUGUGUGACCGGAAGUGCUCUUACGAUCAUCUAUAUCACCUGCAUAGUCACUAUCUGUGUACCCAACAAAACCAGAACCAUCUUCCCUUUUAUAAAACACACCAUAAUCAAUUGUCCCCUUUACAUACCUGAGAAUUCUCUUUGCUGCAUUGAGAUGCAUUUCAGUUGGUUUUUCCAUAUAUCGGCUCACAAGACUCACUGCAUACAUGAUGUCAGGCCUCGUGUAUGUUAAAUACAUGAGACUCCCAAUUAUCUGUUUAUAGAAAGUGCUGUCAACCUCCUUUCCACCUUUGUCUUUGCAUAGCUUUAAGCCAUGUUCAGCUGGAGUUCCAAAUGGCUUGCAGUCAUCCAUCUGAAACCUGUUAAGAAUGUCCUGUGCAUAUUUUUUCUGGUAGAUGAAAUUACCAGCAGUAGUUUGAAUGACUUCCAAUCCAAGAAAAUAGUGCAUUAAUCCUAGAUCAGUCAUUUCAAACUCCAUCAUCAUAGACUUCUUGAAUUCAUCAAACAUUUUAGCAUCACUUCCAGUGAAUAUCAAGUCAUCAACAUACAAGCAUACCAUGAGUAUUUUACCUUCUUCCUCAGUCUUGACAUAAAGUGUGUGCUCAAAAGGACAUUUGUGAAAUCCAAGCUUAGCAAAGUGAGCAUCUAUGCGACUGUACCAAGCUCGAGGUGCUUGUUUCAGUCCAUAGAGUGUUUUCUUCAGUUUGAACACCUUCUCUUCUUCUCCUUUUCUCUCAUAACCAGGUGGUUGAUCAAUGUACACCUCCUCUUGCAGGUUUCCAUGCAGGAAUGCUGACUUCACGUCUAACUGAAAAAUUUGCCAGGAAUUUUGAGCUGCAAGAGAGAUCACUAACCUAAUCGUGUCGUGCCUCGCAACUGGGGCAAACACCUCUUUGUAAUCAAUGCCAUGCUUCUGCUUGUAGCCCUUAGCUACCAAACGAGCUUUGUGCUUGUCAACCUCACCUUUUUCGUUCAACUUUGUUCUAAACACCCAUUUAACACCAAUGGUUUGCUUUCCCUUUGGAAGAUCAGUUAACUCCCAGGUUUGAUUCUUCUCAAUGGACUUGAUUUCAUUGUCCAUUGCUUCCCUCCAUUUCUCCUCUUUAACAGCCUCAGUAUAUGUGAUUGGAUCACUAUCUACAAGUAAUGCAAAGUGAGCAUUUUCAUCAUCAGAACUUGAAUAACUUACAUCGUAGUCCAUCAUCCAUGCUGGCCUCUUCCUUGAGUUCUCAUCUCUCAAAUUGUAUCUCUCUUCUUCAAACUGUUGAGAUGACUGAACUUCAAGUUGAGGUGGCUGCUGGGCUUGAGUUUCAGGAGCUGCUACCUCUUCAUUGUCUAAAUCAUCAUAAACUGGAAUUUGUUGUUGAACCGAUCUGUUCUCAGACCAAUUCCACAUAGUGUCUUCAUCAAAUAUCACAUCCCUGCUUACCACUAUCUUCUUUGUAACUGGAUUGUACAGUUUGUAUGCUUUUGAGACUUCACUUACACCAAGAAAAACACAUUUUUCACUUUUGUCAUCCAACUUCUUUCUUUUCUCAUCGGGGAUGUGUGCAUAUGCUAUGCACCCAAACACCCUAAAGUGAUCAACCGCAGGCUUCAAUCCACUCCAAGCUUCUUGAGGAGUCAUAUUCUUAACAGAAAAUGUGGGACUUCUGUUUAAAAUAUGAACUGACCAUAGCACAGCUUCAGGCCAAAACUUCUUGGGAAUUCUUCCUUUGACUAGCAGACUUCGAACCAUGUUGAGAAUGGUGCGAUUUUUCCUCUCACUUACACCAUUUUGUUGUGGUGUAUAGGCAGUGGUCAACUGUCUCUUGAUGCCUUUCUCUUUGCAAAAUGCAUCAAAUUCCUUCGAACAGUACUCUCCCCCACGGUCAGUUCUUAGAGUUUUAAUCUUCUUUUCUGAUUCAUUUUCAACUAGAGCUUUGAAGCUUUUGAAUGCUUCAAAUGCCUCUGAUUUUUCCUGCAAGAAAUAUACCCAUGUCUUUCUACUAAAAUCAUCAGUAAAGGAGAUGAAAUAUUUCUUGUUACCAUUUGAGAUGGGAUUUAUUGGUCCACAUAGAUCAGAGUGAACCAUCUCCAGGAUUUAUUGAGCCCUUGCUGCCUUGCCACUUGGAAAAGAGUCUCUUUUGUGCUUCCCAGUGAUGCAUUCUUCACACAUCUUUGAUGGAGGAGUUAUAUCAGGUAAGCCAGUGACCAUCCCUUUCUGGUGAAGUGUUCUCAAGCCAUUAAAAUUCAAAUGGCCAUAUCUGUAGUGCCAUCUCCACGGGUCAUCUUCUUUGGCAAAUAAGCAAGCCUGCAGAGUCUUGAUUUUCAAAGGAAACAAUCUGUUGGAAGACAUUUUCACAACAGCAAUGGACCCUCUUUUUGGGUCGUACACUUCCCACUCUCCUUUAUAGAUUGUAAUCCUAUAGCCUUUAUCUUGUAACUGACCAGCACUCAGCAAAUUUGUCUUCAAAUCAGGAAUAUAAAAAACAUUUGAGAUAGUUUCAAUAAAGUCAUUUUUAGUUUUGAUUUGAAUAUCUCCCUUACCCAUCACUUUCACUGUUGACUUGUCACCAAAACUCACUACCGUGUGAAAGCUUUCAUCCAAAUUAAUAAAGGAAGACUUACAUCCACUCAUGUGAUUGCUGCAGCCUGUGUCCACAUACCAUGUCUCCUGAUCAGUUUUUGUCAGUGCAUGAAAAGCCAUCAAAAGUGUCUCUUCCUCCUUCUUUUUCUCCACAAAAUUUGACUUUUCUCCUUUUUCUUUUGGUAACUUCGUGUAGCACUCAUUCUUGUAGUGCCCAAAAUUUCCACAUCUAUAACACUCCACUUUUGACUUAUCAAAGUGGUACGUUCCUUUUUCUUCAAAGUCAUCAUCUCUUUUGAAAACAUGAGAUGACUUGCUGUCAUCUCUAUGUCCAGACCGUCCACCUCCUCGAUGACCUCGACCACCUCUUCCUCUAUCACGUCCACCUCUUCCACGACCUCUUCCUCCUCGAGAACUUGAGGACUCAGAAACAAUGGAAGCUUUCAGAGCUGUUUGUUCUUCACUGGCAGUGGUGCGGUUAAGUCUUUGUUCAUGCACUAACAAAGAGCUUUGUAGUUCAUCAACUCGUAACUCAGCAACGUUCUUUGCCUCUUCAAUUGAACAGACAAUGUAGUCAAAUUUUGGAGUCAAUGAUCUCAUAAUUUUCUCCACAACUUUGACUUCUUCCAUGGUGCCACCAUUGGAUCUCAUCUUGCUUGCUAUUCCCAGAGUUCUAGCAAAGAAAUCAGUGAUGGACUCUCCUGAUUUCAUUUGUAAAGUUUCGAAGUCCCUUGUUAGAGUUUGAAGCACUGCACGCUUCACCCUCUCUGACCCUGCAUAUUUCUUCUUCAAAGAAUCCCAUAUUUGUUUGGAGGUCUCCUUCUCGAGUAUCGUCUCCAAGAUAGAUCGAUCAAGUGCCUGAAAAAGGUAAUUUUUCACCCUCAAGUCCUUCAGCUUCUGUUCAGCAACCCUCUUUUGUUGUUGUUCAGUCAACACAACUCCCUCUGCUGGGGCGUCAAUUCCUGAUUCCACAAGAUUCCAAUACUCCUUUGACCUGAGAAAAUUUUCCAUCAGCAUGCUCCAAUGGUCGUAGUGACCAUCAAAUCGUGGAAUCGCUGGUUGAAUAAAACUCUCAGUGGCUUUCUCUGUUGCCAUUGUUUCUUGCUGCUGCAAGACACAAUCUUUCACCUUUUUUUCAAGUUUGUUCAGGCCCAGAAGAGCUCUGAUACCAGAUGUUGAGAAACUGAAAUUAACUUAAACGUAAAAGGAUUCUUUGAGUAAACAUAUUUCACAGCAUAAGAAUACUGCAGUUUUCCUCUCUUAUAUACAUCUGAAAAACAAAGCUUACAAAAUAACAAUCUCCACAAUAACCACUAACACACAAGUGCAGAUUUUGUGGAGUUCAACUACCUUAAGCAACGGAAGCAAAUUUGAACGUGGUGAACAGACUAAACCACAACUUCUACAUUCUAGGACUUCAGCUUGACUUGGUCUCUACAUGGCCAUGUCAGCAUUAUUUAAUUAAAAAACUAAUUAAACUUAACUAAAUAACUUUUAACAAGUUAAUCAAAUAAAAUAAAAAUAAAACAACAAUUAGAAGGGUUGCAAUUAGAUAGGCUUGCUAGGCUCCAAGAGGUGCAAGACUGUCUUUUGAUUAAAGUUCAAGCUCCCAAGUCCAAAUUUGGGGCACCAACUAGCCUAUCUCAUUGCAGGCGCUUAACACUUGAAGGGACUGGCGCAAUGAUUUACUAGUAAAAUUUGUAAUAGCUUAAGACUUCGCUAGUAUCAUUUAGUAGUUACAAAUCACUUUACUUCGCCAGUAGUGAGUCCCAAUAUCGGCUGAAUUGCUCUUUCGCCAGUAUUAGUCUGUCGGUAUAAGCUAAAAUUGUAGUAGUGUAAGCUAAUUCUUGAUUUACUGUAAUUAUUCCCUUAUCGGUUAAAACUUCAAAUCAUCAAAGAAAAUCAAAGCACUCUCUAAGAAUUUCACCCUUUAAGAGUGCAUUGAGGCAAACCUAAAAAAAUUCUUCUUCAUCAUCAUCUUGUCACGCUUCCUGAAUCCACCAUAGGAGAUUUUAGUUUGGCCCUCUGGAUGUCCUCUUUUAGGUCUUUACGCACCGCUUCUUGGGGCUUAUCACUUGAGCUCCCAAAGAUCACUCUCUUAGCUUCAGCAAAACUUCCGUCGUGAUCUCGUUUGCGUUUCCCUAGGAUCUCCAAGGCCUCCAGCUGUUUUUGCAUCUCUUUAGAAUAAGAAGUUACCAUCUUUGAUAACUUUUCAUUUUCUGCCUGCAAUAUUUGAAGCUAGCGUUGAUUCUCCUCUGCUGUUUUUUCCUCUUUUUUUUUUUUUCAAUCUUUUGAUCUCACGCCGAUAUUCAUCAACCAAAUUCUGCUCUGCCACAACUAAGCUCUCAGUACUUGCACCUCAUAAGAUUUUGCAAUGAGGCGAUGCCCCACACUUGUGAUAGUUGUCGCAUUUUGCAAGCACAGUGCCACAACAUUGCUCACUAACCGGUUGUCAUCCCCCGUUCCUAGUAUGCAUACAUCCCUGGGAGUCACCAAACUCUUCGCAACUCCAAUGGCAACCUCGUUGUCAAGGAGUAACGAGUCGCUUUUUGUCACUGGUCCUCGUGAAGAAGCAAAGUAGGGUAUCCAGACUGGUGCAACUCCUUGCCCCUAUGUCUGUGUUGGCGGAGCUAGGUUAAGAUCCAAAGAAGAUGAGAAGGGAUACGACAUUUUCUUUCUGCUUUCUUUUUCUUUCAUUUUCUCUCUUUUCUCUUUCUUCUUUCCUUUCUCUUUUCUUUCUUUCUUUUCUCUCUUCUGCGUGGUUGUAAUUCUUCUUUUUCCUUUGUUUCCUUUAAUAGAUGAACCCUAGCACCAUUGCACCGUCUAAUUUUUCCGCAUUCCUUGAGCUCCACAGCCUUCUCGCUUUCCACCGUCUACAACUUUGUCGCGACUUGUGCAACGUCGUCCCUACUAUCCAUGGCACCCAUAAUUCCGCUUGUAGAUUUGUCGUACCUCUGCGCGUCGACACAUGUCUCCUCUCUCUAGGGGUGGGCAUUGGAUUUGUGGUUCAAAUUGAUUUAGGGUUGAUUAAAAUAAAAUGGCAGCCCUAGAAACAGUGACCAGGUAUCUAUCCCAUAUGACAUAAAACAUUUAAAAACAUCCAUGGGACUAUAUUUAAAAAAUCAACUUGAUAAUGUUUAGUUGGAUUGUAUAAUGUGUUUUGUUUUGUUUUGUUGGAUUAUAAAAUGUUUAAGUUUCUGUUUUUUUGUUUAUUUAUAAAAUCAUCCAUGGGACUUCAUUUUCGGUUCAAGGUUCCAUUUUUUUAAGAAACCAGUCCAAAUCGGACCAUGCCCACCCCUACCUCUCUGUCUCUUUUUUUGCUUUGUUUUCCUUCUCUCUCUCUCUCUCUCUCUCUCUCUCUCUCUCUCUCUCUCUCUCUCUCUCUCUUCCUUAUAUAUUCUCUCCUCUCUCUGUUUUUUUAUUUAAAUUUUUUCAAUUGUGAGUUUUGUAACAUGCAUGUUAUUUUAUUUAUGAACCCAUUACACGACUCCAAACUCACACAAAAAAAGACGACCCGAACCCAAGAAGACAUGUUUAUUAAAUGGGUUAGAUUCGGGUUGAGCAUUCUUGACACGUUUGUUAAUUGGAUUGGGUUAAAUAAAUCAAUGACAGCAUAAAAUGAACACAGGGUUUGUGAAAAAUGUGAUAUUUUCAAUGACUAUAUUAAUAAAUCUUUAUUUUUUGAGUAGUUAGAUUUUUGCACAAAGCUUACCUUCCUCAACUGAUAGCUGCAUUGAUCUUUUGUCUAGCUCAACGGCGUGUCUGCUAAGCUCAGAUGGUGAUAAUUGACGAAGCGCUGGCAACAUGAUGAACGAAGAGCAUUUUCAGUGCUGGCAAAACUAAAGGCAGAAAAAUUGUAUGAAAUUUUUUAAAUUGAAAGAGCAGUGCCAUAAUAAAAUGACCUACUCUGGAUCUAUUCUCUCUGAUCAGAAUCAUCAAAUUGCUUCAAGAGGUUCUUGAAAUGUAGAAACCCUUCUGUCCUUUGCUCAUCAUGGUUCUUCUCAGAACCAACCAAGUGAGGAACCAGAGAUUCAGGAGUGAAUCUAAGUUGCCUGGAAUGAGCAGCUGGCAAUCCAUUGGAACAGGUGGUUUACCAGGUGAAAAAUCUACCGGAGAAGCCAAGGGCAUUGGUGCGAACGCAGAUGUCUCAUGUUCCUGCUUCUUGGUUCUGUCUCUAGGUAGGUCUUGCUGCUUUUGCAAACAAUAUCGUUUGAAAUUGAGAGAGUAAGUAUUUUGUUCUCACACCUUUAACUCUUCGCUUGCCUAAUGCUGAAUCUAACUUCCUCGCACUACCACCAUGCAUGAGCUGAUCACUUGCACUGCUGAUGCUCGUGAAUUGGUGACAAGGGGAGCUCCGUGGCAACUCAGGGUUGAGUAUCUUAGUUCCCAAAACCUUAAUGGGAUGCGCGACUGGUCGUCCUAGAAAAACAUACUUGUUAGGGUUAGAGGUCCAUCGGAGUAGUCAUUAGCUGCUAAUCAACCCGAGAGAGAGAGAGAGAGAGAGAGAGAGAGAGAGAGAGAGAGAGAGAGAGAGAGAGAGAGAGCAAAGAAGAAAUGUGGGGCGUGUUUUUUUUUUCCUAAUCUUAUAAUUAAGCGUGUGUUUUCUAAAUCGGGGCAUGUGAGUUGUAUUAGUCGGGUAAUGAGAGUAUUAAAAACUUUCGUUUAAUAUAAUUCAGUAAUUAAGUAAUACAAGUUGACAUCAAACAAAUGACAUUGACUAUUUACUCAUAUCCAUAGUCUAAUACCAUGUACCAAACAUACCUAUACGAGCUUUUGCCACAUGACUCAUCUAACAUGACAAUCCAAGUCCACAAACACAAGCAUACACACUAAGACAGGACACUCAUAUGCAUGUGAACUACAAGAACGACUGCAUAAUAUCUUGUAUAGAAACAAGACAAUACAACCGGCGCUUAUUACAUUGGAACUACAGUUCACAUUACAUACCAAAUUUAGUAUAACACAGAUAGGAAUUCAAACAUUUGACUUGGCAUAACCCUCAAAUGCUUGGCCUCACAUUGAGACGGGAUAAAAGCUUUUGACCCAGAGACUUAUCUGCCUGCAUUGCCAAUACAAGCACAUAACAUCAGAACAACAUGGCUUAUUCUAAAACUAACCCUUCAUAUUCCAGUAUCACAUCAUCACGUUGCUUAACGGUACAAAUUCACAAAUGCAAUAAUUUAUAAAUAGACUCACCUGAGACCAGUAUGAGAUCCAAAUGCUGCGAAUCUCAUGGGUGACACGAGGGUCUGAUAGGGCAUCCACCCAUCGGCGGAUGAAUCGCUCUUGCCUGCAUGAAGAUGCAAGAUUAAGAACAAUGUUUAAAUACAAUUAUUUUCAUACAGAGACAUCACAGGGUUGCCAGGUACCUGUCUGGCGCCCAAGAUCUGUAUCUCUCUCCAGGUUGCUUAAAGUUGUUCUCCUUCUCAAUGACGCACUGAAUAACCAAAACAAAGUUCCCAUAUGAAUUAUUAUGUGCAGAAAACAAGGAAAAUCCAGAAAUGCAAUCGGUGCAUAUGUAUACACACACACACCUACACUAGUGUAUGUGCCCAGGUGACAGAAAAAGGGACACAGCUGGAAGAAAAGAUGAUGUACAGACGAGACGGGGAAACUAAGGUAUAUUAUUUAAAGCAAUAUUCCUCAAUUGAUAGAAACUGACCUUCUCACGCUUUCCAGAAAGGAUAUUAGAAGGAAUGGGGUAGCGCUCAGCAUGACGAACAGGAUCAUGCCUUGAAGGGAAGUAAUUAACCUGAAAAUAACAGUAUAGCAACUCAUCAGAGAAAACUCAAAUGAAUAAACAUGCAUACAAUUGGAGUUGUCCUCCCAGAAUAUUGAGCAAUCGAAGUAUACAAGGGCCAAAGCGAUUCCAUAUGAGACAUAACAAUUGAGUAAAAUAAUAAUACCUCCUCAUCCCUGUGCAUGAAAUUCAUGAAUCCCUCAUGAUGAUUGUUAUGAUGAGGACACUUGGGAGCAUUCACUGGGAGCUGCAGAUAGUUCGGGCCAAGACGGUGCCUCUGAGUAUCAGAAUAUGCGAAGAUUCGAGUUUGGAGCAUCUUAUCAUCUGAAUAGUAGAUACCAGGGACAACAUGGGCAGGGUUAAACGCAAGUUGUUCAUUCUCUGCAAAGAAGUUAUCGAUGUUUUUAUUCAGAACCAAACGGCCAACUGGCUGCAGGGGAAGGAUAUCUUCAGGCCAGGUCUUAGUUAAGUCAAGAGGGUCAAAGUCAAAUCUGUCCUCGUGAUCAGGAUCCAUUGUCUGAAUAUAAAGUUUCCACUCAGGGUAGUUGCCAGCUGCAAUGGAAUCAUAGAGGUCCUUGGUAGCAUGGCUGUGAUUAGCUCCUCCAACCUUAAUAGCUUCAUCCUCCAACAAACACUUGACUCCACAAGUAGGUUUCCAAUGAAAUUUCACAUAGUGUACUUUCCCUGCCUUACUGAUGAGGGUAUAGGCGUGAACACUAGAGCCUUCCAUGUGCCUGUAAUCUUGUGGAACUCCCAGAUCAUCAUAAAAGAAGGCGAACGUGUGCAGGCUUUCUGGAAGGUGGGAGAAGAAGUCAAGGAUCCUCCAAGUCUCUUGGAUGUGCGACUUGGGGUUCGGUUUGAAAGCACGGAUCGCGUCCGGGAAUUUCAUUGCAUCACGGACAAAAAAGACGGGGAAAUUGUUUCCAACCAGGUCAAAAUUACCCUGCGUUUAAGAAGAACAAAGUCACCACAUGAGUAAUUACUACACAGCAAAAUUAACCCGAAUAAAUUCGUAUAUGGUGAAUAAUGCUACAUGAGCAAUCUAUUACAGCCAGACGACUACCCCCUAUAAUUUAAAGGAAAAUGAAAAGGCAGAGCUAAGAAAGGAAUGAAUGCAAUCUUUCAUUAAAGUCACGAGACUGCAAGAUUUCCAAUAACUAUAAUUAGUCAAAUAUGACUUGAGUACUUCAGAUUUUGUCACCACAGCCACCUCAGCUGCCACUACAGAUACCAAUACAAAUCCAUUAAAUAUGCCUACACUAUUGAGAAAAUAAAUAAAACAUUGAUAAUAUAUAGGUAAAAACCUCACCUCUCUGGUGUAAAACUUCACUGCAAAACCACGAGGAUCCCUCAGGGUUUCAGGGCUGCCACGCUCAUGGAUAACAGUGGAGAAACGCACAAUGACAGGUGUCUGAACACCAGGGGCUCGAAGGAAGUCAGCACAAGUAAGCUGAGAAAUAUCAUGAGUGACCUCAAAGAAUCCCUUUGCACUGGCUCCCCUAGCAUGGACAACACGCUCUGGGAUUCGUUCUCUAUCAAAGGUGGCAAGUUUCUCC